rnacentral:lncRNA from 1 species
UUUUAAUCCAAAAUGUUGAUAACCAGUGUUUUCAAGGGACCAUCUCUUCUCUUGGAGAAAGUCUUAUGUUGCCAGAGACCCUUCUGAAGGCUUAGCAUCUCCUGGCCACCUUUUGAUCUCAAUACAUCUCAGAAUUUUGUGGACAAAACAUCUGUAGUGGAUUAGGCAAAAGACAUUUCUGCUUUGGGAAAUGGUAGCUUUUGCUUGAGUCAGAUAUUUGUACUCCUAGUGUCAGUAUCUGCUUUCCUCUAUAAAGGCAAAGACAACACUUCUCUCCGGGGAUCAAAGGCAAAAGUUCCUGUGUAGAUCCUUUUGCUCUGAUCUUUCCCUUUUGCAUGUUUAACUUAUUUGUGUCUGAAGUAGAUAGAAGGAGAGCUGUCAGAAUUUAAAUCAAAACUUAUGAGGCAUUGCGGAACAAGAGAAACAUCUUCUCUUAGGAUAGCAUUGACUCCUUUUGGGUCAAAAGAAGGAAAAGCAAGUGGGAUUGGUUUCACUACAUCCGCUAUCAUCUUGGUCUUUAAGUUAUUGGGAGGAAUAUGGAGAGCAGACACCCAGCCAUCACAAAGCAAUAUGUACGUAUGUGUAUUCACAUGCCCACACUGUGCCAGAGUAGCUGAUGUAAGAACAGAAGUGUGAGGGAGGACUCAUCAACCCUGUGAAAUGAACAUGGAAAGGGACUGCCUGGCUUUUGAGUCUACUUGGAGUGGUGGGUGGAAUUGGUUUGCGUUGUCAGUGUUUUGUUUUUGUUGGGGGAAUUUUAAGUUUCAGCCCAGAUUUCUCUGUGUCUGACUUGGGCUCUUGUAUCUGAAUUAUGUUAUUGAAGGGGUGAAUGAGAGUUGGUUCCUUGAUAGUUUUAUUAGACAAACUGUUACUGAUACCUUAUCCACUUUACAGUAUUGCCAAUCCCAUUUCCACGCUCUUCUGAUCUGAUAAGUGCAUUUGUGUUAUCAACAACUCAAACUUCUAUAGAAGGGAGCACAGAGCCUCUGUCAAGUUGGAAUCCCUCUUUAGUCUGUGAUCCACAACAUGUGAUUACUUUUGUAUGCAGUGUUUUCAGCUCACUGAGAAAGAUGACAGUUUCAGCCUUUGCACAUUUUUUCUUGACUUUUUUGUUUGUUUAAAAUUUUUCUUUCUUUUCUGGACGAGCAAUCUAAAAUCGUCAGUAAAAGUGAUAUAUUACCUAGGAAUUAUGCCAUUGUUUUGUUUGGAGUUUACCUUUAUAAUUAUUUCUGUCAGCCUCUGGAAAUUGGCUAAAUUUUCACAUACUUUGGUUUUCUAAGUUCCUGUGGUUUGUAAAGUAUAAGUGGAUUAUUACUCUAGCGCAUUCUGUACUAGACUCCCUUCUUGUUUGAAUUUAGCCUAAAUACAGAAUACAUAGCACUGGUCUGCUCUAAACAGAGAUCAAAUGCAGGUAGUGAAGAGAAGCAAUUUAUUGCCACUAGUUCACCCUCUGUAACAAGGAAGAUAUUUAAUUUGUGUCCUUCAGAAUAGAUAGAUCUGUACUGAUGCAAACUGGCUUAUUCCUCUAACAGAGCACUUACUGGCCAUAAAGUAGUGAGAUGGAAGGAUAGCAAAAGUAGUGGCCCAGCAUUUAAGAAAAUAAAUAAAUUCUGACGAGCUUCGUAUUCGGCUUAUCUAAGGUCAAAGAUGAAAGCUUUCAUCAAGUAAAACAAAUACAAGUAAAGGGAAUUCCAUUUGAAGGAGAAAGGUGGAACUGUUAGAAUGGUGGUUGGUUUUUAAAUAAUGUCACUGAGUUUUGAAGGAUUUGAAAAUCCAAAUGCAUUCAAAAGCAGGCAAAAGAUUGGGCAGCGGAUCAGGUGAGUAAUGGAGCAUGUUAUGUACCUUCUCACUUCAUCAUUUGUUGCUGCUCAUAGGAAGUUGGCCCAUAGUGGCUGAGGGCAAAAUACACUGCUUACAAGAUUGUUUGGGAUUAUAGGAUAACAUCUCUCAUCUUUUUCUAACCAGCCCCAUUCAUUUCUGUCAUCCACAUUACUGACCAUUUGGAUGUAAGAGAAGAAAGAGUUAGAACAGAAC